CACCGGCCGGGGAGGAAGACGUUAAAGACGCCAGGGAGGAGGACGGUGUGGACACCAUUGAGGAAGACCUGACACGGGCCGGGGAGGAAGACGGUAAAGACACCAGGGAGGAGGACGGUGCGGACGCCAGCGAGGAAGACCCGACAUGGGCUGGGGAGGAAGAGGGUGCAGACUCCGGGGAGGAGGACGGUGCAGACGCCAGCGAGGAAGAUGAUACAAUUACCAAUGAAAAGGCACACAGUAUUCUAAAUUUUUUGAAGUCAACACAGGAAAUGUAUUUUUAUGACGAGAUGCAGCUUCAGCUGCCCUCGCAGAUGCCGCUGAGGAGCUGCUGGACCGCCUUGCGUCACACAGCAUGCUGCCCUCAGACGUGUCCAUCCUGUACCACAUGAAAACGCUGCUGCUCCUGCAAGAUACUGAGAGAUUGAAGCAUGCUCUGGAAAUGUUCCCAGAACAUUGCACGAUGCCUCCUGGCUGGAGCAUGCUGGGGGGCUCCCCGGGGGCUCUUCAGAGUGAGGGAGUCCUGAGGCUGGGAGUCUGGGAACCACUGCUGUGCACCGUUUGGCACAACACUAGCUGAGGCCCCUUGUAGAAAUGUUCUUCCCAGACCUGCAGCAGGAAAGACACAGCGUGAAUGGGGAUGUCCUUUAUUCCCAGAGGCAAGUAAGCCCCAAAAUUCCACACUUGUCAGAGUGACAGGGUCCCAGGGGCAAGCCCUGGCUGAUUUCAGCCUCAAUGCGAACAAGAUCGUUAAUGGAGGAUGACGCAUUACAAAGGGCAGUGUAAUCCAUGGUGCAUGGUCCAUAGCACCAGAGCACAGGUGGGGAAGGUCAGGAGGAGAAAGCUCUACUUCUCACAAAAAAGUGGGGCAAACAAACAUAGAGAUGACAGAAUUAGCAAAGUGCUUUGUCGUCCCCAAGGGAAUAAUAACCAAACCCAACAAGGACGAUCCGGAUGUUAAAAUCACUGGGUCAGAUAUUUUGGGGAAGGGGAGAGUCCCGAAGCCUCACCUUACCCCACAGGUGACUUGCAGAUUUCGAAGGGGAGGAGCAGCUUUGCAGGGGGGAUCCAGCUGCUGGCACUGAGCACCCAGACGGGAGGCUUGUAGGGG
rnacentral:lncRNA from 1 species